UUUCUGUUAUUACCGUGUUAUUACUGUGUUAUUACGUUGUUAUUACUGUGUUAUUACUGUGUUAUUAUCUGUUAUUACUGUGUUAUU